UUUAUCGUAUCACUAUACGUGGAGAGUCGAUACGAAACGGAGUAUCGUAUUUUGCGAAUAAUCGCGUAACACGUGGAGUUGAUCGUUGGCCAAGAUAUUUCAAUCGAUAAUUAAAGUCAAAUAAAACACCCGGUAUGCAAAAAAUAGCACACACGUGCAACCAUUCGUAGUUGUGUACACUCAGAAAUGGGAUGGUACCGCUUUGUUCCUCGCGCUGACCUUCGUUCUAUUAAAGUAUAAAUUGCUUUAAAGCACAGCGUGGAUCGAAAUGGGCUGCUUUUUGGAGAAAAAAGACACCGAAGCGAGAGAAAAAACUAAAGAGAGGGUGGCACUAAGGAGAGGGAGAGAGAGAGAAAGAGAAUGGUAUCCCAAGCUCCACGAGAAAUUGUCGUUUUACGACGUUUCCAUAAAUAUCAGGAAGGAUCGUGGAGAAUAAACACAUCCACUCGACGGUGUGACACCAUUUAUUACCCCUGGUACAGGCAAAGCCCAAACGACUUUCAUCCCGCUUUCGAAGCUUUCUCCGAAGCACCCCGGUGUGACGGGGGCCGAAAAAGUGUCUCCGUGUUGCUUUUCUCCUGUUCUAUACACGACCCGAUUUUUACGUAACUGGCGCCAUUCCUCGUCAAUCCACGAUACGCCGGCCUUCGACCUUUGACGCUUGUUGCGCAGAUUUAAAUAUAGGGUAUCCCGUAAUCGAUGGUAAAUCGAGAUAAUGCGAAUUUAGGGGUGAAAGAGAAAGAUGAAGACAAAAAUCUUUUUGUAAUCUCUUUGAUUUUUGACAUUUAAUGCUUGUUGCAACGAUAUUCAUCGUGAUGAUUUAGAAAAAAAUGUGAAAUUAUUUCAUACAAUUUUCUAUAAUUUGUUGAUUAUUUUAUGAAAAAUCAAUUGAGAUGGAUUUUGUUUUAGGAAUAACAAUAAAUUUAAAUAAUUAUGAUUGUACAAAUUUCAUUUCUUUUUAAUUUCCA